rnacentral:lncRNA from 1 species
AAUGGGGAACGGCAAAGAGGGAAACAUUCACAGUUGUGCAGCGGUACGUUCAAAACUCGCAACGCCGCUGUUUGUUUUGUUUGAGCGAUAGAGCGCUGUUCAUCUCAUUAUUGUUUUAAUUAACAGCUAACAUUCGUAUUUGAUAACAUUGACCGGAGCACCUGGUACAAAAUAAAGCGACACAGUCAAUACACAGAACAAAUAAAGCGGCACGAGAACAGUGCAUGCGUUUAGAUAUUUAUUCGUGCGGCCUUUGUGAAAAAGUAUAAAACGCACAAUAGCCGUAUGGUGAUCGUUUUGUCUGUCGGUGGAGAGUUACUCCGGGGGGGGGGGGGGGGGGGUAAUACAGUGGGCUGUGCAGCAAAUGUUCCAUGCUAUACUUCAAAAUGCACUGCGAGAAAACUAACCACUGGUCCUCCUGAAAGAGACAGUUGUGGCGGAUACCAAGCCUCCUGUUCAAGGUGAAAAAUGAG